UGUGAGCUCGAUGAGUAGGGCGGGACACGUGGUAUCCUGUCUGAAUAUGGGGGGACCAUCCUCCAAGGCUAAAUACUCCUGACUGACCGAUAGUGAACCAGUACCGUGAGGGAAAGGCGAAAAGAACCCCGGCGAGGGGAGUGAAAAAGAACCUGAAACCGUGUACGUACAAGCAGUGGGAGCACAGAGCAAUCUGUGUGACUGCGUACCUUUUGUAUAAUGGGUCAGCGACUUAUAUUCUGUAGCAAGGUUAACCGAAUAGGGGAGCCGAAGGGAAACCGAGUCUUAACUGGGCGUUAAGUUGCAGGGUAUAGACCCGAAACCCGGUGAUCUAGCCAUGGGCAGGUUGAAGGUUGGGUAACACUAACUGGAGGACCGAACCGACUAAUGUUGAAAAAUUAGCGGAUGACUUGUGGCUGGGGGUGAAAGGCCAAUCAAACCGGGAGAUAGCUGGUUCUCCCCGAAAGCUAUUUAGGUAGCGCCUCGUGAAUUCAUCUCCGGGGGUAGAGCACUGUUUCGGCAAGGGGGUCAUCCCGACUUACCAACCCGAUGCAAACUGCGAAUACCGGAGAAUGUUAUCACGGGAGACACACGGCGGGUGCUAACGUCCGUCGUGAAGAGGGAAACAACCCAGACCGCCAGCUAAGGUCCCAAAGUCAUGGUUAAGUGGGAAACGAUGUGGGAAGGCCCAGACAGCCAGGAUGUUGGCUUAGAAGCAGCCAUCAUUUAAAGAAAGCGUAAUAGCUCACUGGUCGAGUCGGCCUGCGCGGAAGAUGUAACGGGGCUAAACCAUGCACCGAAGCUGCGGCAGCGACGCUUAUGCGUUGUUGGGUAGGGGAGCGUUCUGUAAGCCUGCGAAGGUGUGCUGUGAGGCAUGCUGGAGGUAUCAGAAGUGCGAAUGCUGACAUAAGUAACGAUAAAGCGGGUGAAAAGCCCGCUCGCCGGAAGACCAAGGGUUCCUGUCCAACGUUAAUCGGGGCAGGGUGAGUCGACCCCUAAGGCGAGGCCGAAAGGCGUAGUCGAUGGGAAACAGGUUAAUAUUCCUGUACUUGGUGUUACUGCGAAGGGGGGACGGAGAAGGCUAUGUUGGCCGGGCGACGGUUGUCCCGGUUUAAGCGUGUAGGCUGGUUUUCCAGGCAAAUCCGGAAAAUCAAGGCUGAGGCGUGAUGACGAGGCACUACGGUGCUGAAGCAACAAAUGCCCUGCUUCCAGGAAAAGCCUCUAAGCAUCAGGUAACAUCAAAUCGUACCCCAAACCGACACAGGUGGUCAGGUAGAGAAUACCAAGGCGCUUGAGAGAACUCGGGUGAAGGAACUAGGCAAAAUGGUGCCGUAACUUCGGGAGAAGGCACGCUGAUAUGUAGGUGAAGUCCCUCGCGGAUGGAGCUGAAAUCAGUCGAAGAUACCAGCUGGCUGCAACUGUUUAUUAAAAACACAGCACUGUGCAAACACGAAAGUGGACGUAUACGGUGUGACGCCUGCCCGGUGCCGGAAGGUUAAUUGAUGGGGUCAGCGCAAGCGAAGCUCUUGAUCGAAGCCCCGGUAAACGGCGGCCGUAACUAUAACGGUCCUAAGGUAGCGAAAUUCCUUGUCGGGUAAGUUCCGACCUGCACGAAUGGCGUAAUGAUGGCCAGGCUGUCUCCACCCGAGACUCAGUGAAAUUGAACUCGCUGUGAAGAUGCAGUGUACCCGCGGCAAGACGGAAAGACCCCGUGAACCUUUACUAUAGCUUGACACUGAACAUUGAGCCUUGAUGUGUAGGAUAGGUGGGAGGCUUUGAAGUGUGGACGCCAGUCUGCAUGGAGCCGACCUUGAAAUACCACCCUUUAAUGUUUGAUGUUCUAACGUUGACCCGUGAUCCGGGUUGCGGACAGUGUCUGGUGGGUAGUUUGACUGGGGCGGUCUCCUCCUAAAGAGUAACGGAGGAGCACGAAGGUUGGCUAAUCCUGGUCGGACAUCAGGAGGUUAGUGCAAUGGCAUAAGCCAGCUUGACUGCGAGCGUGACGGCGCGAGCAGGUGCGAAAGCAGGUCAUAGUGAUCCGGUGGUUCUGAAUGGAAGGGCCAUCGCUCAACGGAUAAAAGGUACUCCGGGGAUAACAGGCUGAUACCGCCCAAGAGUUCAUAUCGACGGCGGUGUUUGGCACCUCGAUGUCGGCUCAUCACAUCCUGGGGCUGAAGUAGGUCCCAAGGGUAUGGCUGUUCGCCAUUUAAAGUGGUACGCGAGCUGGGUUUAGAACGUCGUGAGACAGUUCGGUCCCUAUCUGCCGUGGGCGCUGGAGAACUGAGGGGGGCUGCUCCUAGUACGAGAGGACCGGAGUGGACGCAUCACUGGUGUUCGGGUUGUCAUGCCAAUGGCACUGCCCGGUAGCUAAAUGCGGAAGAGAUAAGUGCUGAAAGCAUCUAAGCACGAAACUUGCCCCGAGAUGAGUUCUCCCUGACUCCUUGAGAGUCCUGAAGGAACGUUGAAGACGACGACGUUGAUAGGCCGGGUGUGUAAGCGCAGCGAUGCGUUGAGCUAACCGGUACUAAUGAACCGUGAGGCUUAACC
rnacentral:rRNA from 1 species